rnacentral:lncRNA from 1 species
UUACCACCACUGGAUGCUCCGCCGGCGGGUAUGUUCUCAUAGCAGGAACGGGGUUGCUUGGUGCUUGCCCAGUAGCCAUAAUCACAAAAACACAAUAUUACUUGGAGAAUUAAACAGAGAAAAAUAGCUAAAUUUCUAUAUCAGGCAGGUCUUGAUUGUUUUUAGAAGUAGUCUUUGAGGGAGAACGGUGGAUGUCUUUUAUAGUGCCAAUUAACAAGUGGCAUGUUGUGUCUUUAAAUAAAAAACACGAGUGGCAUGCCCAUGCCCUGUAGGGGAUUUAUAAAAAAAAUAUACUUAAUAGUAUUAUAAUUAUGAACAAGCACUAGAUAAGUAAUAAAAACUAAAGGUAUGAUGAAGUCAAUAUUUCAUGAUGGAAAAAAAAAGUUGUAUUGGUGAUAAAAAAAUUUAAAGACCGAACAAAAUGAUUGUUUUCGCCAUAUUUUUUAGUUUUUUUACUAAUAAAAAGAAAAACAAAUACAAAGCUAAAUUCUCUACCAACUUAAUAUUAAAAAAAACCAACAGAUAAUCUUUGAAGGAAAAAAACCCAUGAGAAAAAACGUUGUAGCAAUCAACAAUGUUUUGUGAGGAAAACUACAGUGUUUUCUCUAAUAAAAUCGACAAAAAUAAUUUUAGAAAAAAUCAUAAAAAAAACCAUUUAGAAAAAUACUGUAGCAAUCCACAGUGUUUUGUGAGAAAAGCUACAACGCUUUUCCCAUAUGAUUUAGCUUUAUUGUAAUUAUAAUUCUUAACCAACUCAAUAUUAAAAAAAAAAUCGACAAAAAUAAUUUUGAAAAAAAUUCAUAAAAAAAUCAUAUGGGAAAACACUGCAACAAUUCAUAGUGUUUUAAAGAAAAAAAAUGACAAAGCUAAAUUCUUAAUAAGCUCAAUAUUAAAAAAAUAAAAUCGACAAAUAUAAUUUUAGAAAAAAAAUAACAAAAAAAACAAAGGGAAAAAAAACCAUGUUGGAAACAUUAUAGCAAUUCACAAUGUUUUGUGAUGAAAGCUACAGUGCUUCCUCACAUGAUUUAGCCUUAAUUGUAAUGACUUGUAAUUGUAAUUCUCAAUCAACUCAAUAUUAAAAUAAUAAAAUUGACAAAGAUAAUUUUGAAAAAAUCAUAAGGAAAAAAAAAAACCAUGUUGAGAGACACUCUAGCAAUCCAUAGUGUUUUGUGAGGAAAGUUACAAUGCUUUCUUCAUAUGAUUAAGCUUUAUUAUAAAGUUAAAUUCUAAUAAGCCCAAUAUUAAAAAAAUAAAAUUGACAAAAAUAAUUUUGGGAAAAAAUAUUACAAAAAAAAAAACACAAAAGAAAUGGAAAAACACCAUGUCGGAAAAAACACCAUGACAAUUCACAGUAAUUUGCGAGGAAAGUUAAAGUGUUUUUCUCAUAUAUUGUAAUUGUAAUUUUUAACCCGCUUAAUAUUAAAAACUAAAAUCAAAAAAGUUAAUUUUGGAGAAAAUCAUCAAAAAACAAAACAACAAAAAACCAUGCGGAGAAAAACUUUAAGCAAUCAACAAUGUUUUAAAGAAAAAAAAUUAGAAACCUAAAUUAUCAAUCAACUCAAUAUUAAAAAAAUAAAAUCAACAAAUAAAAUUAUGAAAAUAAAAAAAAUAAAAUAAAAAAACUAUGAGGGAAAUGCCAUAGCAAUUAAAGGAAAAAAUUUACAAAUCAAAAUUUUUAACCUCUCGAUAUUAAAAAAGUAUAAUUAAUAAAGAUAAUUUUGAAAAAACAAUAAACAAAUAAAAGGGAAAGUUGGAAAAAAAAAAGUCAUUUUGGAAAAAAAAGGAAAGAAAAAAGGGGAAAUUUGAAAAAAAAAAGAUUAAAAAACAGAAAAAAAAAAGAGAGAGAGGAAUGCACUAUGGAUUGCUAUUGGAAUCCAUAAUGCAUUGAGUGUGGGUGAACAAUGAAUUCUCCACACCCUUUAGCUUAUUACUUAAUUGUAAUUUCUAUCCAGUUUAACGAAGAUACUUUAAGAAAAGAACAAAAAAAAAAAACUAUGUGGGAAAAAUACUGUAGCAAUCCACAGUAAUUUGCGAGGAAAGCUACAAUGCUUUCCUUAUAUAUUGUAACUGUAAUUUUUAACCAGUUUAAUAUUAAAAAAUAAAAUUUUAAAAAAGAUAAUUUUAGAGAAAAUCAUAAAAAAACCAUGUAAAGAAAAACUGUAGCAAUCAACAAUGUUUUGAAGAAAAAAAAUUAUAAAACUAAAUUCUCAAUGAACUUAAUAUUAAAAAAAUAAAAUUGUUAAAUAUAAUUUUGAAAAAUAAAAGAAUAAAAUAGAAAAAUCACGUGGAAAACACUGUAGCAAUCCAUGAUAUUUUAAAGAAGAAGUAAAAAUUUUAACCAGCUCAAUAUUAAAAAACUAAAAUUAACAAAGAUAAUUUUAAAAAAAAAUGCAAAAACAAUAAAGUAAAAAAAAGGUAAAAAAAAUAAAAAAUACAAAAAAAAACAUUAAUAAUAAUUAUUAUUAUUGUAAUCCAGGUGCGGAAAACAGUAAUUUCCACAUUUAGAUAUUGCUGUAAUGGGCAGUCUUUGCCCAUUACAGCAAUAAGAAAGGUAUCUUCUUUUAGCAGGGGAGCUGGCAGACACGGUAUUACGAGUUUUUUUCUUGUGAACAAAUGAUGGCACCUAGGAUAGUUUGUUGUCUUCAUCCCUAUUUUGUGGUUUCUUACAAUUUCAAUCCUUAAAUAUUUCUUCAUUUCUAUUUCAUCCUUUAAUGCUUCAAAUUGUCUUUUUAAAUUUAUUUAAUAGGGGAUCUUUUCGCUUUAAAUUUAUGUGCUUCACCUCUCAUAUCCGGUUUUCUGGGAACUACAAUUACAUCCCACAAAAUAAUAAAAAGAAAGGACCAAUAUUACCGUGUGCAACAAUGAAAGGAUGAAUUUAGAUUUGAUUUGACACGGAGAUAAGGUAAUCCCAAAAGCCAAUAUAUCGUCGCCAUGUCUGCAGCCUUAUCUCUACAGCAGAGAUGGGGACUUCCAAAAAAGGAAGAUAGUAAAGAGUGGGGAGAGUCAUGGAUUGAAAGGACGUGCACUAUUGAAAAGGACGUGCACUAUUGAAAGGUUCAUUAGCGAAAAUGGUGUGGAGUGGACAUUGGGUUUUCUGGGUGGAGCAUUUAAUGAUCCUUCUCUUCUUGAUUUUCGAUUUUAUUUUUUUAAAUUUUGGAAAAAUGAAUUGUGCUUUCCAAUUUAGGUGCAGGGAAAUCAUACCUGCUCUUGAAAUUCACUGAUAAAAGAUUACAUCCCGUUCAUGAUCUCACCAUCGGUGUUGAAUUCGGAGCUCGCAUGGUCACCAUCCAUGGCGUAUGUACUUUCCUCUUUUUUUCUUUUUUCUUUUUUCAUUCCCGUACUCUCAGUUUUUUCAUUCUAUUAGAGGAAGCGUUAGAAGCCAAAUAUGGUUAAAACAGGGAGGGCCCUUUUGCAAAGAAAUGCCUCACGGGACUUGCAAUGCAGGGAUGCUUUUUGUGCAAAACGUGGCCUUUGAAAAAACAACGGCCGUGAGGUAUGCGUCAGAGGACAGUCAUCGUGAUCGAUUAAAAUUUACAAUCAAGAAUCAACUAUUAAGUUUAAAAUAUACCCGAAAAAAACUUUAAAAAGUAAAUAUAUUAAAAUGAUUAUAUUUUUAUAUAUUUUUUUAAUACCAGUAUUUUAAGAUUAUUGAAAAAUAUUUAGAAAAAUAAAUUUAAUAUUUUUUCAAAUUAAAUAUAUUUUCCUAUAUUAAUUCCAAACGAGAUUGUAGUAAAAAUGUUUGAAAAAGCAUUGUAACUAUAUUAUCAAAUACACAGUAACCAAAUCUAAAAUGUACAUAGCUCAGUUGCCUUGUUUGAAACCGUUGACAUUGGCUUCUAAAUAAAAAAUCCAUCUCCUUCCUUGAUUGUGUUUACGGGCCAUAUGCCUUUAUCUUUUAAAAGGUCAACACGAGAGAAAAAGGCGUGUAGAGAAAUGAAACAAAAUUGUGAUGAUGUACUAAAAUGUAAAUAGCUCAGUUGCCUUGAUUGAACCUUGUUUUUUGUUUUUUUUUUUAAAAAGUAAAGGGGUAAGGUCUUUGUAUAUAAAAUACGCCAGAACUUAAUUUAUCGGAUGUGCUGGUUAUUCUUUUUCUCGGAUUAGAAGAAGGGUGGAAAUCCCAGGAUAAUUAAUCGAAAAACAUGUAUGUAUUUAGUAGUGUGAACUAUACUGAAAAAGAUUUCUAAGCAUGUAAAAGAAACCAUGAAGAAAUUCUUACUUAAAAAGUAUUAGGUGAAAGAAAUCUAUUGGAAGAAUCCAUGUAGAAGGAGCUCGUACUUAAAAUGUUUUUCUAAGAGGCCAAGGAAAGUGAAUCCAUAGAGAAGGAACUUAUACUUAAAAAAAUUAUUAGAGGCAAAAAAGGAUUCUGUUAAAGAGAAGUCAUAUUUAGAAAACAUUCUAAGAGGUUAAGGGUUUCAUGUCCAUGCUUAUAAAUUUUUUUAAAAGAUCAAGAGGAAUCCGUGAAGGAAAAGUCAUGUUUAGAAUUUUUUUUUUAAAAGUAAGGUUUCAUGUUUACUUUUAAAAAGACUUCUAAAAGGUUAGAAAAACUAAAACUAUGAAGGAAAAGCCAUGCUUAGAUGAAAAUUCUAAAAGGCCAGGUUUCAUGCACAAACUUAGAAAAAAUAAACUCUAAGAGGCUAGGGGAACCAUAGUAUAAGUCUAUACUAAGAAAUUAAGAGGUUGAGGGUAACUCUUGAGAGUUGUUCCAUAUAAUAUCUUAAAUGAUCGUUGUUUUUUGAAUGAUGCACCUAGUAACACCCUUGUCUAUCUCAAGCAAAAUGUAUGUUUAAUUGAAACUCUUUUUCCUUAUUUAUAUUUUUUGUUUUCUUUUUUAUUAAUAAAAAUAUUUUUUUAUGAGAAACAUAGUUUUUUUUUAAAUAAGAACAUAAUUUUAAAAUAAAGUUUUAAUAAUAAAAAAAAUGAAUCCAUAAUUUUUACACACGAAUGUGUCAAAAAAAAUAUAAGAAUAGUCAAUCGAUGGAAAUGACUGUAUUAUCCCCCAACACCAACUCACCUCAUUUUUCUUUAAAGCAAAAUCAUAAUGUUACCAUAGCUAUGAAUAGUUUUUUUGUGUGUUUGAGUCACGUUUUUAUGUUAACUAUUUUGAAAGUAAAUAGGUCGGUUGCCUUGUUUGAAACUAUAGACAUUGGCUGCUAAAUAGAAAAACCCAUCUCCUUGGUCAGGUCACCAUGGAAAAGGGAUGGCUUAAUAAUUAAUUAACACCAUAUUGCAACGGGAAGCUGUCCACUGCAACUGGAAGUGGAUCAGACACGGUUUGCAAUUUACUGUCAUUAUCUUUCUUUAUCGAUUUUGAAACGCAAAAGUUGCUCCCAGUUGCCUUUUUUACGAAUAAAACAGAGUUGCCAUUGUUGAUUUGCUUCUUGAAAUGAUUUGCAGCAGACUGUUUUAGCAAAAAAGCGAAAGUAAUUUAACUUAUAAAAGUUGAUACAGGUAGUUAAAAGCAUAAACUCGUACCAAUAAUUGUUGGGGGGGGGGGGGAAGGUGACAAUAUAUAUGGUUAUAUUUUAUAUUCAUAGCUCACAUUCUGAAAUGCAAAAGAUGCUCCAAGUUGCAUCAUUUACGAAUAAAUUAAAUUGCGUUGCCAUUGUUAUUUGUUUCUUGAAAUGAUGCCCAGUUGACUGUUUUUUUUUUAUUAUUAUUUAAAGACACGACAUGCCAUAUAGGCUAAUUGGUACUAUAAAAUACAUCCACCAUUCCUCUCAAACACUACUUCUAUAACCACCAUCAAGACCUGCAUAAUAUAGAAAUUUAGCUCUUUUUCUUUCGGUUUAUUUCUUCGAGUAAUAUUUUGUUUCUGUGAUUAUGGCUACAGCCUACAGGGCACGCACCAGGCAACCCCAUUCCAGCAGUGAGAACAUACCCGCCGGUGGAACAUCCAGUGGUGGUAAUAGGGCCACAGUACCUGGCACAGUACCCUGUUGAACUCGCCGUCUCUACAAAGCUAUGGACUCUUGGAGAGAAUGAUUUUAAGGUGUCCGACAUUAAUGGCACCCUCAUCUUCCAGGUCAAGAGUAAACUCUUAACCCUACAUGAUCGUCGUUUUCUGAAAGAUGCAGCCGGUAACACUCUUGUCAAUCUCAGGCAGAAGGUAUGUUUAAUUGCUCUUUUUCAUUUGCUUUCUUCUUUUCAAUCUAACCAUCACAACAUUGAUAAAUUCUAAAUUUGGUUGCCUUUUACACGAGACUAGAUAUGAUUCAUUUAAUAUAGACAUCGAGGAUUUUAUUAUUUUUUAAAUGUAAUUUAAUUGAUAAGGACCACGCAUAAAAUAACAAUGAUGAAAGUUGAAUACAGUCAAAUAACGUUACUAACAUUAGUGUCCAUAUAUCAAUGAGAUGGCUAACUGCGUGUUUACCAUUUUCUCCAGAUAAGGACCAUGCAUCGGAGGUGGGAAGCUUUUAGAGGAGAAAGCAAGGAGGAGAAAGAUUUGCUUUUCACAGCCAAGAAAUCGAAGUUAUUCCAAUUCAAAACUGAGUUAGACAUAUUCUUGGCCAACAACAAAGGAGAGGUCCCUGAUUUCAAGGUCAAAGGAGGGUACGGGGAGAGUUCCUGCUCUAUACUUCUUGGAGAUUCCAAUGCCAUGCUUGCACAAGUAAGUUCGAUGCUCUCAUUCAUUUUAGAAUCUUUGCAGGUGUUCAUACUAAUAGUUUUUAAUCUUGAAUAAAUGCAGAUGCAUAGAUUACACUCUCUCACGACGAUGAUCUUGGAUACAGAUAGUUUUGGAGUGACUGUUUAUCCUAAUGUUGAUUAUGCCUUCAUAGUAGCUCUUGUGGUGAUUCUCGAUGAGAUCAAUGCAGACCGUAGUGGCGAAGAUUAAAUACAGCUUUUGUUUUAUUUCAAGAGAAGUUUUCAAGUUUUAUUGCUUUUUUAUUGUAAGAAUAAAUACAAUGCAUUCUUUAUUGCUUUUUCCUAAUGUAAAAUGUAUGCUUUGUGGAUGACAAAAAGCGUAAAAUAUAUAAUCAUUUAUUUAAUGUGUUUUGAAUUCUGUUCAAACCCAAAAACAAAUAACACAUAACUUGAGAUAAAUGAUCAUUAUAUAAACUUAGCUUAAUAACUUUAGUAAAAUUUAUUUGUAUAAAUUUGUUUGGAGCCCUUGCAAAAGUUGGUGCUUGAUUCGGUAAAAAAAAAGAAGCAAUUUUGUUGUUAAAGAAAUAUUAAAACUUCAAGGAUCAAAUUAAACACUGCAAUAAAAAAAACAGCCUAUAUAUAAAAACAUGAGGUGAAGAUUUUAAAAAUUUGAUCCUCAAAGUUUCUUUAUUUAUUUUUAUAUGCUUUAGAACUUUAGUUUUUUUUAUCAAAAACUUUAUUUUGUUCAUUUUUUAAAAAUUCUAUGUUUAAGAGAUAAGAGAGAAUAUCACUCACACACAUACACAAAAAAGACUAUGACACUUUUUUUUUUUUUUAUAACAUUAGCACUUUUUUUAUAACCCAUCGUGAUUUUUUUCCCCUUAAAUUUUAUUUGGUGGCUUUCCGACACAAGUCUAUUUUUAUUAUUGUAUGAUUAAAAUAAAUAAAUUAUGAAAAAUAGAGUUAUUAAACCCAUAUAAGUUCAAAACUCUAAUUAUAAAUUUUAUUGUUUAACCCAGGUUGACUCAGGUCGAUCCAAAACAUUGUCAUCUCAAUAUUUUUUUUAAAAAAAUAAAGUUGAACCAAUGUUAUCUUGAAAAAACAUUUUUUCAAUCAAACUAGGUUUUUACCAGGUCGCAUUUGAGUUCACCAGGUUUAUUGGGUCAUAUCAAACUAACUUUCACUUGUUUUGAUGUUAUACCUGGCUAGACAUCAUUUAUUUCUAAUGAAAAUGGAAUGAAAUUAAUGAGAAUUUAUCACCAUCGAUUCUUUUAAUACUUGGAACGCACCCUAACUCCAUAACAUUGGAUCAAACCAAAAGCACACAAAAUCAAAAUAACCAAAAUAUUGUAAAUUCAUUUGUUCAAACUCAACAGAAUCAUAACAUGACAAAAAGAUCCAUGAAUCAAAUAAUUAAACCCAAGCAACUUCAUACAGUGACAAAAUAUCCUUUUCCACAAACAUUUAAACCAACAUGUGUGCGCCAAGCUAUAUCUCAAUCUCAACGGUGUAAUGCUAUGUCAAAUGAGCUCACUACCAUCUUCAAGCAUAGAACUUGAGACUUGGUUCCGCCACCUUCAAAUUGUACCCAUGUAGGUUAUAGAUGGGUGUUUAAAGUGAAGAGAAAAUCUAAUGGUUAUAUGGAUAGAUUGAGAUAUUGUCCUGUUGCAAAGGGGUAUAAUCAAUGCCCCAGACUUAACGAUAAAAAAACAUUCAAUGCAAUAUUUAAAAUUGCCAUUAUUAGAUCAGUUUUAACCAUUGUUGUCAUGAAUGGGUGAGAGUUGAGGCAAAUAGAUGUUAACAAUGCUUUUCUACGUAGGAAUUUAACUAAACUAUUUAUAUGAUGGAUUCCAUGCGUUGAGUAUCACGAAAUCAGUGUGAGAAGUUGGUAAAAAAUCAUUUCUGCCCUUGUUUUUUUAUUCUCCUUUGCCAGCCUCCCUUUCCCCCUCUUUUUCUCCACCUUCGGCGACACAACCACCUGUGGUUACUGAUCAGUACUUAAAAGUGCAUAUUUAUCAAGGUUUUAUAUCAUCAUUUUGCACUUAAAGUAUCAAUAACUCCUUAACUAAAGCAUGUUUUAUAAUAACAAGUUUGAUACUAUAAAAUGCCUUAAUAUAUGGUAAAUGUUCAUCUUAAAUGCAGGCUUAUCACAUAAAUCAAAGGAUUGAUUGAUGAAUUCAACUACUGAAAUUAUGAAGAUAAAGAGAGGGUGAAGCUUAGAAAAGAGAUGUUGGUGCAGUCCAAACUGGAACACUAUUCGGGAAUUGAGUCAUAUCUCGAGUUCUAGAUGUCCAAAUAACCUUAAAUGUUUACAAAGAUUAGGUAAGACAUAGGCCUACAACUUUCAUGUGGAGUCCAAGAUUUAAAAAGGCCGUUUUCAAGUCCAAAUUAUAGCAACAACAAAGAAGUCCGAAUAUGUCUUGCAGCCCAAACACUAUUCAGUGUUCAACCCAUAUCUCAAGUUCUAGAAGCCAAAUGACCUUAAUGUUUUUUUUCUGGAAAGCUAAGACAAUUUCCUAUAACUUUCAUAGUACAGGUGGAUCCAGUUUUGAUGCUAGCAAUGAUGUUUUAUUCAGACAAGAAGAUAAGGAUUUUCACCAAGUCAAGAGUUGGCCACCCACUCAACAAUUAGUCAUCAAAUCAAUAGUUCUAAAUUUUGGCCUAUAAAAGGAGGCAUUUGCCAUGCAUUUGGAGACUUGGUUGUUCAGAUGAAGAACUUGUUCUUGCUUUUUCUCUUUAUAUUUUUUUUUGUAAUUCUUAAGUUUUGCUUUCAUUAAUAUCUUUUUUAUGCUUUUCAUUUCCUUUCCUCUACUUAGUUAACUUGUAUCUUAUUUAUGUUCUUAUUUUGUUUAUUUAUGUUUCUCUUCUUCAUUAUGUUUAGCUAAGUUUAUUAUGUCAAGGUGAAAAGGUUACACUAAUGGUGUAAGAAUAAGUAUGGUAUAGACUCAACAUGGACCUUAAUAUUUAAUAUUAACAUGUCUUAUAUUUUUAUCUUACUAAUUCUUAAUACCUUGCUUGUUAAAUGGUUAAUCUAGAUUUGUGUUGUAUAACACUUGGUACAACAAAUGCUUGGCACUCUCAUAGCCCAACCGUAUGGUAUUAGCUACACCUGUGCUAUGAAAGGACCUUGAUUUGUUGUUAACAUAAGUUAGUAUCAUGAAUUCCUGAUGUCGCACCCCAAAAAAUCCGGCGCGCGAUUUUUCAUCAUUUGUUGCGUUUGCUUUGAAUUUGUUUGUGGGAGUCGCCACCUAGUAAUUUAUUGAGGGCUACUAGGAAACCUGAUGUACUGGUCUUAUCAGAGAUCGUGGGUAAGGGACUGGUUGUGGUUAGGGAAGGUAUUAGCACCCCUAACGCACCCUACCUGAGGUAAGCUGCUUUGUGUUCUGAUGUGAUUUUGAAAAUUUAAAAUAUUAAUUAAAUUCUAAGGCUUGAAUAAAUCAGUUAUUAAAUCCCCGAAUAUAUAUAAAAACUUGUUCUUACAGUUUCGUGGAAAAUACAACUUGAUUUUAUUUGUCCUUUAGAUAUUUAACCAUAUUUAAAAAAAUUUAAAAUAUUAAUUAAAUUCUAAGGCUUGAAUAAAUCAGUUAUUGAAUCCCCGAAUAUAUGUAAAAACUUGUUCUUACAUUUUCAUGGAAAAUACAACUUGAUUUUAUUUGUCCUUGAGAUAUUUAACCAUAUUUAAAUUAACAAUUAAUUCUUUUUGUCCUUUUAUUUUUACAAUUUAAUAACAUAAAUAAAAAAUACAAACAAGCACACAUCUCUUUUUAUUAUUUAUUUUCUUUCAUUUUCUUCUUUUUUUCUUUUACAUUCACAUAUUACAAAUUUAAAAUAAAUAAACAAAAAUUACAUUAAAACUUUAAAAUUUACAAAAUGGUCCCUAAAAACUCCGGAAAUUGCAGGGAAGGACUUCAGGGGCUGCAUGAACAGAGACGGCGCGUCUUCCCACGCGCCAUCGCCACUGGCGGCGCGUGGGUUCACGCGCCGCCGCAGGGAAAGAAACUGGAUGCAGUGGAUCGCAACCGGCUUCUCCUUCUGUCCUCCUAAACCAUCUGUGACCUGUGGAACAAAAAGAGAAACUCAACAACAGUCGGUUUUAGUUUUUUAUUUCCUUUUGUUUCACUUCUGUUUUAUGUCUUCUUUUUGCUUCGUUUCUUCUUUGCAGGUUGCAGAUCCGGCGAGGGCAGGCUUCGAUGGCCACUGCUGGGCAGUUCUGGCGGCGGGUCUGUGGGCGGUGGCUGCCGAUCUGUGGACGGCGCUGCUGCACGGGGAGCGGAUCUGUGGGGAGUAGCUACUGCUGUUGGAGGACACCGUUGAUGGUUUGGAGGAGGAGGAGACGCAGGUUCGGUCGGCGAUGGACAGGAAGAAACUGAAACGGCCAGCAAGAGGGGAGACUCCUUCGGGUGCAGGGAAGAAGGCCGAGAGAGGGAAGAGACCGGUUCUGCUUGUUCUGCUUUGGCUGCAACCGAGAGAGAGCUGAGGGAAAAAUGGAGGCCGGUUCAGGGGAUGAGUGAAGGAGCUGGGUCUGUGGGAAUGGAAAUGGCUAGCGGGAGGAGAGGAAGGGGCUGGUCUGUGUGUUGCUUUUUCUUUGCAAAAGGGGGGGAGAUUUGUGGCUGUGAUUUGAGGGGAGACGGUGAUGGGAAUGGAGGUCCGGUGGGGGUGGGGUCUUCGGGUGCCUGAGGAAGAAGGAAAAAAAUCGAAGGGGAGGGGUUUGGGGCUGACUUUGUUUGGCUUUUGUUGCAGUUUGGGGAGGUUGAGAGUGAGGGUCAAGAGACAGAGGUGGCUCGGCGUGCUGGGGAGAGUCUGAAAAAUGGCAGGGAACGACCGGUGUGUAGAAGAAAAAAUAAUCCGGGGGGGAAGUUUGGGUUGAGAGGGAAGAAGAGAAAAAAAAAUUGGAUCCCCCAAGCGGGGAGGCUGUGAGGUUGAUUUGUAAGGAAAAAAAUGAGAUUGAUUGGGGGCUGAGAGAGCAAAUCAAAAACCAGGGGGGGAGCCCCUUUGGUGGCUUCGGCUGAGAAAGAAAGAUAUGGCCGGGAGGGAGAGCAGACCCCCAAAAAAAAAAAAAAAGAGCCUGAAAGGGCUGUUUUUAUUUUUGCAUAGGACCAGGGAGUGUGGGAACAGCUGGUGAUGGGGAACGGCUAGUUUCGGGUGAAGAGAAAAAAUUCUUAGGUUGCCCCUCCUUUCAAAAUUCAAAAUUCCUUAUACAUAGGCAAAAAUAUUGUUUCGGCCUCAAAAUUGGUCCCUAAUUUUCUUUUUUGUGUAAAAUUUGAUUUUUCUUGUUUUUUUUGUAUUUUUUGAAAACGAGCAAUAUCAACGUCGACUCAAAUGUGGAAAAUCAAAUAUUUUAAAAAUGACGCGUGAAAAGUGAACGCGUUCGAAAAUCUUUUUUUUUAAUUUAAAUUUUUUAGACGACGCUGAAAAUGCUAAAAUGACGAAAUAUAUUAAAAACAUAUUUUUUUGGAUUUUCUUUGUUUUUCUCUAUUUUUGGAUUUUUUGAAAAAUAUAUCAAAAACAUGGGUCAAAAAUUGGUAGCAACAGAUGCCCCCUCUUUACAAUGCUUACGAAGCAAAAAUCCUCGAUGUUUUGCAUAGUAAGCUUUGUAAAGAAAAACUUGUCUUUCUGUUUUGCUCAAUAUUUUUUUUUUUGUUAACCUGAGAUCCCAUCUGGCGACCUCCUUUACCAAAACCAAAGAAUGCGUGUAGCUCGGUCAACCCGAAACCCCAAUGGAGAUUCCCUUUAACCAAAGCUACAUGAGAUCCCAUCUGGCGACCUCAUUCAACUGGAACAAAAUAUUGUGUAACUCGGUUAACUGAAAUCCCAUCUGGCGAUUCCCUUUAACCAAAGCUACCCGAGAUCCCAUCUGGCGACCUCAUUUAACCAAAACAAAAGAAUGUGUGAAAAAUGGUCUCAUUGUUUUGGGUGACGAACCCAGAAAAAUGAUGGUCUCAUUGUAUGGGUGACGAACCCUAGAAAAAAUGAUGGUCUCAUUGUAUGGGUGACGAACCCCAAUGGAAAGGAGGAAGAGUGGUCUCAUUCUUUGGGUGACCUACCCAGGGGGAAGAAUGGCCUCAUUCUUAUGGGUGACCUACCCAGGUAAAAAAAAGAUGGAGAAUGGUCUCAUUCUAAUGGGUGACCUACCCAGAAAAAAUGGUGGUCUCAUUGUGAUGGGUGACCUACCCAAGUGGAAAGGAAAGAGUGGUCUCAUUCUUUGGGUGACCUACCCAGGGGAAGGAAUGGCCUCAUUCUUAUGGGUGACCUGCCCAGGUAAAAAAAAAAUGGAGAAUGGUCUCAUUCUUUGGGUGACCUACCCAGAAAAAAUGGUGGUCUCAUUGUGAUGGGUGACCUACCCAGAAAAAAUGGUGGUCUCAUUGUGAUGGGUGACCUACCCAAGUGGAAAAAGGAAGAGUGGUCUCAUUUUUUUGGGUGACCUACCCAGGGGGAGGAAUGGCCUCAUUCUUAUGGGUGACCUACCCAGGUAAAAAAAAGAUGGAGAAUGGUCUCAUUCUUUGGGUGACCCACCCAGAAAAGAUGAUGGUCUCAUUGUGAUGGGUGACCUACCCAAGAUGGAAAAAAUGUGAAGUGUGGUCUCAUUGUAAUGGGUGACCUACCCAGAUGGAAAAAAUAUGAAGUGUGGUCUCAUUGUAAUGGGUGACCUACCCAGAUGGAAAAAAUAUGAUGAAGUGGUCUCGUUGUGAUGGGCGACCUACCCAGAUAGAAAGAAUAUGAAGUGCGGUCUCAUUGUAAUGGGUGACCUACCCAAAAAUGGAAAAAAUAUGAAGAACGGUCUUAUUAUGAUGGGCGACCUACCCAGAUGAAAAAAAUGUGAUAUGACAAGUGUGAAAAAUAGGACUUACCUGGCGAAGUCCUGAAGGGAUGACAGAAGAAGGGCUGGAAAAACUUGGUGCUUCCUGAUAAUUCCUGAUCAUAGGGUUUGAAAACUCGGUGUUUCCUGACUGCAAGGGUUGAAAACUCGAGGCUUCCCGAUUGCAAGGUUGAUCUUUCAUUUCUUUGGGAUUUUCCUAAUGGUAAGGUUCAUCCCAUCGUCCUUUUAUUCCAUGAUCAAAACCGAUUCUUUGUUAUCAUCACCACAAUGCUUCUUUCUCUUUCCACCAUCUUGCUGGACCUCAUUAAGGAUUUUCCUGUAACAAUUCAAAAAUAUGUGCAAAUGGUUUUUUUUUUUUGUUUUUUUUUGGAGGUUAGAUGAUAUGCAUGCAUCCUUACCUGAUUUGAAAUAUAGGUCCCCCCUCUUUGAUGCUCCAUCGUCAUAGGGUGCCCUUGUUUGCAUCCCAAAGCUUUCUUUGUUCUUCGAUGCAUUGGCUCAUUCAUGUGCUAGCCAUCCACUCAGCUGUAAAUGCAGUGCCCAUCCCGGGCUGUCUUCGACAAUUACUGCUGCAUCAUUCAUCAAGCUUGACUGCCCCCAAGUGUGGUGUUGCUUGAUUCAUCAUGAAGAUUUUCUCUCUUGGAUUCUUCUGAGAAUUAUCCUUUGAUUGAUUGUGUGCAUCAUGCCAACACCCAUCAAGAUUGUUAAUCAGUCAUGAACUUGCCUUCGGUUGAAACACCAUUCAAGUAUGUAUGGUCACCAGCCUUCAUGGAACUGCCAAGUCAUCCAGACAUGGAUCUCAUGCUUUGCAGUAAACACUCAUCAUUGUAAGCGCGAUGUAUUUCUCUAUGGAUUCCUCUUAGCUUGUCAAAUCAGAUCGUGAAAAUAACUGCUUUGGCAUCAUCAAUGAUGUUCAUGUUAUCACCCAUAUUCAUGCGGUGAAGUGCGCAUUUGAGCUUCAGAAUAGAUGGUCCCAUAGUCAAUCUUAGUGGUAUGCAUAUGUUCGAUGUUCAUUCAAAUGCACUCACCCGAUAACAUCUGUCAGGAGUCAUAGCCAUGUUUUACAGGUAACCAAGAUGAAGAUAUGAAAAUAUCCUUCAAGUGCAGCGUUGCUCAUCAAUUGCUGCUGAAGUGCACUAGAUCAUGGAUUGUCUUUGAACAACAUUGCCCCAAUAUGAUCUGAAUGCUCAUUCUUCUUAUACAAAAGGCUUUUUUGAAUGCCAGAACUUUGUGAACUUUGAUGACUCAUCAUCUGAUUCUUUCUUUGCCCCCAGCUGAUCUGGAUUGUUUGCUUUCUUCUAAGGGUCCACUGUAUUGCCCCCAGGUGGUCAACGUUUCAAGGAGUGUCGAGAAAUGUUGAUGUCAUUUUUGUCAAGGAUUUUGCAAACUCAAUUGAUGUUCUUGUUUGAAAAUCUUUCUUGUUCUGGAAUCAAAUCUCACAUUUCAACGAUCAUGUCUAUUCAAGUCUAAUUGUUGAAAUGAAAUCAGAGAUGUCUGUUUUUGAAAUUAUUUUUUUUUUGAAAUUCAAACUUCUUUGGUCAAAGACCCAACACACUAUUCAAUGCAGUCCUUUGAUUGUCUUGUAUUUGAAAACAGAAAUGACCCGUUGUAAGAUUUAAAAUGACUUUUUCAUGGUUCUUUGUGUCCACUUUAAACUCUGAUUUUGGGUAUAUCUUUUGAUGGUCUGUGAUGAGGUGACAUUUUUAUGAAUUUCAAAAACAAGAUGCUCAGGCUUUAUCAAGAAAGGUUGUUUCUUUUCUUAGCAUUUAUUUUAUCAGCAUGCAUAAUAACCAGUAGCUUAAUUCAUGAAGUCACGACCCUUAUGGAAAAACUCUUCAAGUUUUGAGAGCGCCAUUUAUCGAUUCAAAUUGCUUGCUUGAUUAAAAAGGGCUUUUAAAAGCACGUAAUGCAGGCUAUGGUUCAUGGCUAUGAAAGAAAGAAUUUCAAAGGCUCAAAAGGUGUUUGAGGGUUUCAACGACUAGGAUCAACAUUAACUAUUCAUCGAUUCUCUUUCUCUUGUCGUCAUUGUAGAGAAAGUGACAUAUAACCUUGUUAAUCUCAAAUAUCAGAAUUUCUUAACAUAGGUCAUAAUGCAAAUCCAACUUUUCUUUGAUGAAUAACUAAUCUAAUUUUGAAGACAUUAGAGGCUUUAUCCUAGACACACCAAAAGAUAUGAAGCAUCGAUUUUUCUAGUGUUGACUUUUGGCAUUUAUUGUCUUUUCUCAAUUGAAAGUUGUCUUGCCUCUCUUAGAAUUGGUAGGCAUUUUCUUUCAUUUCCUCAAAGUUUUUCUUGGACGGCCCUCGAUCUAUGGAUUUUCUUCUUCUACCCUUUUCUCAAACAUUGGACUUUUGUUCUAAGCUUUUCUUUGAUCCAUUGAUUUUAUCUGUGUCUCCAAAAUAUUUCUCAUUUACCCCCAGUGUGGGGUGUGAUCCUAGUCAGGGUUUCUAAAAAAAUAUUUUAUUCAGCUCAACAUGGAACUACAAAGGAUAUAAACUUUAGAAAGUGAAGGGAUAUCAAAGAUGGCCUUUUCUCAUUUCAAGCAAGGUCGGUUAGAACCGAUAAAUUUUGACCUCAUCUAGUGUAAUGAUUUGGACUUGUAAGAGUCAUGAUUCACGAGUCCAUAACUACCGAAUCCACUACAUGUCAUUAUGCAUACUGCUAAAACUUAGCUAUAUGAUGUGUGGUUCAUUAGUGAGUUCAAAAUUUGUUUGGUCACCUCAUGUCAUUUCAACAAGAAUCGAGUCAUUUCUGCAAUCAAAACACUUUUAAUCUUCAGGAUUGAUUAACCUUUAUCGCAUGUUGGAGUUUGAUCAAAAUAUUUUGAAAAAAAUGUUAAACAUCUGUUGAUUUCAAAACAACAAAGAGACAAAAGCAAGGCAUGUUUCGUUGAAGGAUGAGAUGUGAUCCCAAAACAAAAUGCAGAAUUCCAAAACAAUAUGAUUGACUGUUCAUCACCAUUCUUGAAUCAGCUUUUCUGGCAAUAUUUGCGUUUUGCCAAGCACUUUCGAUCAACAUGUCAUUCUGAAGAUGUUCGGGGACAAUAUAGCCAAUGACACCCUCCUUCACCGACUCCACUUGUCUCUUGCUCACCAACUUUCAGACUCAAUUCUUGCAAUUCUUGAAACUGUUCACUUGAAAUGGUUGAGGACCCCACCAUGACAUCACAUCUCUUAUCUGGAUUAUACCACCUAGAAAUUGGUUUGCAUGGGAUUUGUCGGAGUCAAGCAAAAUUCUGGAAUCUGGCAGAUGCUGGUCGACAAACUUAAAUGGCAGAGGAAUGUCCCAUCUUGGCAAAGACAUUUGAGCAAUUGAUGCUACCGUGAGACCUGGCUAUACCACAUAAUUAAGGGUUCACACCGUCGAAGUCAUCUCCUGAUUCACCUCUCAUCAUUGUUCUAGAAUCCAUGGCAGAUCCUUCAAUCUUUCCUCUCUUCAUAGCUUGUUCAAUUCUUCGGCAAAUCCUCACAACAUCAUUUCAAUCUUCCAAUGUUGCUAUGGUUGGUUGAGGAUUGUUAGAAAACUUUCCAACAGCUUGGUAAUCUUGGCAGCCCAGAAACUUGUAGUAUCGCCACUACCGACGUGUGGAAUCACACAUUGUCUCUAUUGGAAGAGCACCUGAUGAAUCUAAACUCCUUUGUCCCCUCUUCGAUUUCUCACUGACAGUGCAGCAAACAAACACCUAUAGAGGAAGUCCUGCUCUGUUGAAGUUUCAGUAUUCUUCAUGUUUUUCAGUCUAGGCAUGUCUCUUCUCUCUACUUUUGCGUUUUAAUACUGACAUUGGAGGAAAAUCAUAGAUGAUCUGAAACUACUGUAUUCCUUCUUGGAUUUCCCACUUGCGGAUCCACAAACAGAUUCCUGCUGAGAGAGCUCUGCUACGUUGAAGUUUGAUGUCUGCUCAUAUUUUUCAGACCAGGUCUGGCUCUUCGACCUACUAAGAGGUCUUCGUGCUGAAACUGAUGAGAGAAAUAUUUGUAGCCUAUGCAACUUAUAAAUCCCCUCUUGCAUUCCCAAUUUGCAGAGCCAUAAAUGGAUUUUUGUAGAGGGAGCUCUGCCACAUUGAAGUUCAGUGUUUAAUCAUGGUUUUUCAGACCAUCUUGUGUUGCUGAACUGGAAUUGAGCUCAUAAUUGGGAUAACUUCAAAGCAGACUAAUGCACCAUGUACAGGAGGCUAGUAGUCGUUUGGAUCCAUUAGAUGAUGUGGAGGCGAUGAACACUUAACAAUGCAACUAGACAAGAAUCAGAGUUGUCAUUAGCUGAUGACUGAAGGCGUUGUUGUGGUUGUUGUUCAUGACUGAAAAGGAGAGAUACAACUUCGAUUGGACGUGAACAAGCAGUGUUCCCACAGCAGAUUGUGCAGACACUCUCUUUCCAUUUGAUGCUCAACAUUUGUUCAAGCAAAUCUGAGUCUAGCUGUUUCACCUUUGAUGCUCUCAACCUUAACAUGAUAAUAAGCCUCUAUCUGACACCUUUCUUCACCUCCAUCAUUUUUCUUCAAUCACGCGCAGCACAGCUUGUGCGGGGGAACAUACAUUUCAACCCGGUACAUGCAUGUAAUCUAAUUGACGAACUCACCCUUCGAGGGGUGACAAUAUGGUCGUAACUCUUGUAUGAUGGAACAAGAAUCGUGAUUUUUGCCCAAACUCUACAAUGAAAAUUUUCGGAGUGACGGCCAAUGUGUCACCCACAAGUCUUGAGUUCAAGAUGCUUCAAGAAGGGUUUGCUCGAAUGCAAAACAAUAGCACAUACAUCCUAAAGACAGGCUCUAUUCAUUUUACGUGAGACAGGGUAGGUUUGCUACUUGGUCUCUAAAAGGGUCUCUUGUUGUCCCAGUGAUCGCCUUCGUAAAGGCAAUAUAGGGGCCCAGUAGGUAAUUGGUUGGCACGUGUCCAACUAUUACCAGUCUAAGCACUCAACAAAGAGUUGGGGUUUACACAAACUUAAACCUUGACUCAAGUCGUAAGGUAAGCUGCUAGUCCCCCACCUAACCUAAAGCUGGUGUGUGCUUUCAAAAAUUAAAACUUGUGAUGCAUGAGAGAAAAUAUAUACAAUGCAUGAAUAAAACACAAAUAAACAAAACAAAGCACAAAAAAAAUAAAAUUGAACACAUCAAAACACAAAGCUUAGUCCGAUAAAGUUGAAAACAAUACCUGUCCCCAGUGGAGUCGCCAUCCUGUCGCACCCCAAAAAAUCCGGCGCGCGAUUUUUCAUCAUUUGUUGCGUUUGCUUUGAAUUUGUUUGUGGGAGUCGCCACCUAGUAAUUUAUUGAGGGCUACUAGGAAACCUGAUGUACUGGUCUUAUCAGAGAUCGUGGGUAAGGGACUGGUUGUGGUUAGGGAAGGUAUUAGCACCCCUAACGCACCCUACCUGAGGUAAGCUGCUUUGUGUUCUGAUGUGAUUUGAAAAUUUAAAAUAUUAAUUAAAUUCUAAGGCUUGAAUAAAUCAGUUAUUAAAUCCCCGAUAUAUAUGUAAAAACUUGUUCUUACAGUUUCGUGGAAAAUACAACUUGAUUUUAUUUGUCCUUGAGAUAUUUAACCAUAUUUAAAAAAUUUAAAAUAUUAAUUAAAUUCUAAGGCUUGAAUAAAUCAGUUAUUGAAUCCCCGAAUAUAUGUAAAAACUUGUUCUUACAUUUUCGUGGAAAAUACAACUGAUUUUUUAUUUUGUCCUUGAGAUAUUUAACCAUAUUUAAAUUAACAAUUAAUUCUUUUUGUCCUUCUUUUAUUUUUACAAUUUAAUAACAUAAAUAAAAAAUACAAACAAGCACACAUCUCUUUUUAUUAUUUAUUUUCUUUUAUUUUCUUCUUUUUUUCUUUUACAUUCACAUAUUACAAAUUUAAAAUAAAUAAACAAAAAUUACAUUAAAACUUUAAAAUUUACAAAAUGGUCCCUAAAAACUCCGGAAAUUGCAGGGAAGGACUUCAGGGGCUGCAUGAACAGCGACGGCGCGUCUUCCCACGCGCCAUCGCCACUGGCGGCGCGUGGGUUCACGCGCCGCCGCAGGGAAAGAAACUGGAUGCAGUGGAUCGCAACCGGCUUCUCCUUCUGUCCUCCUAAACCAUCUGUGACCUGUGGAACAAGAAGAGAAACUCAACAACAGUCGGUUUUAGUUUUUUAUUUCCUUUUGUUUCACUUCUGUUUUAUGUCUUCUUUUUGCUUCGUUUCUUCUUUGCAGGUUGCAGAUCCGGCGAGGGCAGGCUUCGAUGGCCACUGCUAGGCAGUUCUGGCGGCGGGUCUGUGGGCGGUGGCUGCCGAUCUGUGGACGGCGCUGCUGCACGGGGAGCGGAUCUGUGGGGAGUAGCUUCUGCUGUUGGAGGACGCCGUUGAUGGUUUGGAGGAGGAGGAGACGCAGGUUCGGUCGGCGAUGGACAGGAAGAAACUGAAACGGCCAGCAAGAGGGGAGACUCCUUCGGGUGCAGGGAAGAAGGCCGAGAGAGGGAAGAGACUGGUUCUGCUUGUUCUGCUUUGGCUGCAACCGAGAGAGAGCUGAGGGAAAAAUGGAGGCCGGUUCAGGGGAUGAGUGAAGGAGCUGGGUCUGUGGGAAUGGAAAUGGCUAGCGGGAGGAGAGGAAGGGGCUGGUCUGUGUGUUGCUUUUUCUUUGCAAAAGGGGGGAGAUUUGUGGCUGUGAUUUGAGGGGAGACGGUGAUGGGAAUGGAGGUCCGGUGGGGGUGGGGUCUUCGGGUGCCUGAGGAAGAAGGAAAAAAAUCGAAGGGAGGGGUUUGGGGCUGACUUUGUUUGGCUUUUGUUGCAGUUUGGGGGAGGUUGAGAGUGAGGGUCAAGAGACAGAGGUGGCUCCGGCGUGCUGGGGAGAGUCUGAAAAAUGGCAGGGACGACCGGUGUGUAGAAGAAAAAAUAAUCCGGGGGGGAAGUUUGGGCUGAGAGGGAAGAAGAGAAAAAAAAAAAAUUGGAUCCCCCAAGCGGGGAGGCUGUGAGGUUGAUUUGUAAGGAAAAAAAAUGAGAUUGAUUGGGGGCUGAGAGAGCAAAUCAAAAACCAGGGGGGGGAGCCCCUUUGGUGGCUUCGGCUGAGAAAGAAAGAUAUGGCCGGGAGGGAGAGCAGACCCCAAAAAAAAAAUGAGCCUGAAGGGGCUGUUUUUAUUUUUGCAUAGGACCAGGGAGUGUGGGAGCAGCUGGUGAGGGGGAACGGCUAGUUUCGGGUGAAGAGAAAAAAAUUCUUAGGUUGCCCCUCCUUUCAAAAUUCAAAAUUCCUUAUACAUAGGUAAAAAUAUUGUUUCGGCCUCAAAAUUGGUCCCUAAAUUUUCUUUUUUUGUAAAAUUUGAUUUUUCUUGUUUUUUUUGUAUUUUUUUGAAAACGAGCAAUAUCAACGUCGACUCAAAAUGCGGAAAAUCAAAUAUUUUAAAAAUGACGCGUGAAAAGUUGAACGCGUUCGAAAAUCUUUUUUUUGAAAAUUUAAAUUUUUUAGACGACGCUGAAAAUGCUAAAAUGACGAGAAUAUAUUAAAAAACAUAUUUUUUGGAUUUUCUUUGUUUUUCUCUAUUUUUGGAUUUUUUUGAAAAAAUAUAUGAAAAACAUGGGUCAAAAAUUGGGUAGCAACACCUGACAAUAUUUAAAAGUUUGGUGUUACUUAAAUAAGAUAAUUAAUAUGAUCAUGUUAACAAUUUAUAAUGAGCAAUUAAUGACAAAUCAUCCGAUUGGAACCUCCUUUGUGUGUGGUUUCCAGUUGAGUAAUAAGAGUUUAUACUAUACUUGUUUGAAAUAUCAUUAGUGAAUCCUAUAACCUUGACACUUGUUUUUAUCAUUGUUUAAUUAUCACAUUGAUCUUCCAUCUUAAAAUUUUCAUCAACUUCUCCCUAUUCUUCUUUAUUAUUAUUACUACUACUACUACUACUAGUAUUAUUAUUAUUAUUACUAUUAAUAUUAUUAUUACUAUUACUAUUAUUGUUAUUAUUGUUGUUAUUAUUAUUGUUGGUGUUGUAUUGUUAUUUAUAAUUCAUACAAUUAACCUCCCUAUGGUUCGAUUCCGGUCUUGCCGAGUUAUUUAUUAUUUCGACAUUCCUGCAUUUGGAAGAAGACAUCAAUCUUUUGGUCGUGUCAUUCACCAUACAUGAUCUUCCAUGAACCGCCAGGAACCCUUCUAGCAACCCUCUACCUUCGACCAAACAAUGUCGCUUUUUUUUUUUUCACUUCAAAACCCUCCAUUUGUGAUUUUCUUGCAUGUUUUUCUAUCAAUUUUGCAAAAUAUCAGGCUGUAUCUUUACACUAUAAGAUACAGAUUUGUUAUUAAAAAACCUGGUUUUCUCCGAAAUGCCUCUUAAAAAAAUUUGAAGAUUAAAAAAAAUCUCAAGAAUUUUUAAAUUAAUCUCCUCUUUUAAAAUAAUAAAAAAAAAUUUUGUUUUCAUGUGUACAGUCAAAUCCUAAAAUAAUUUUAAGCAUGCUUUUUUAAAAAAAGAAGAAGCAUAUUUCUCAUGUUUUGAAAUGCAAAAAUGGAUAUUAUAACUAGUUUUUGGUUAUCCCUUAGAGUUUGACCAAAAUAUCAAAAAUCCUUCACCAAUCAUUUUGUUCAUUUUAUAUUUAAAGUGUUAGGGUUUAGUUGUAGACUUUAAUAUUUAGAGGUGUACAACUACACAAUAGAGUACAACCCUCAAGUAUUAAAGAUAAAAAGUGAAAAAUAAAUGCAAUACUAAAAUUUAGACUUUUGAAUAGUUAGGAUUUAGCCUAAUAAGGUAGAGACUUUCUCACGAAUGAAGAUUUGAUUUGAACCUUAGAUGUGACCAACGAACAUGAACAUGACUUAGAAUAACUAUCAAAUAACAACGUAACUUACCUUAGGUAGGGUGAUGCGGUGUGCCAUUUGACGUCGCCCCACGACACCUUACAUGUAACAAAGGCAUCCUUAGGCUUUUUAUGUGAAGAAGCCUAAAUGACCCUUCAACGAUGCAUUAAUAAGCAACAUGUGUGGCAUGAAAAUUAAUUACCAUCAAGCAUAAAUUCUAUAAAAAAACAAAUUAAGAUCCACAACUUCAGUAUUACUACAAUAAUAAAAUAUGAUGGUGUUCUAAAAUUUGAUAUACUAAAAAAUAAGGUUAUUUAUUGUUUACACAGUGGUUAAUCGUAUAAAGGAAAUCAAUAAUUUGUAACAAUAUAGAUUUCCCCUCAUCUUAUCUCUGGUAAAUCUUAUAUCCUUAUGUAUUUGAAUUUAUAAUAAACAAUAUCUUGUACAAACCUUAUAAAUAGGAGUUCUACUUAUAAAAUAAGAAAAGCAAUUUAAGGAGAGCAUUUUUGAAAGUUGUAUAUCAUACCCCAAAGGGCGCUUGUUUAAGCCUAUAGAUGGCUUUUCUUAAUAUACACACAUUAUUAGGCUUAAACAUGUCUUUAGAACAAAGAAUAGACUAUGCUUAAUCUUCCUUCUAUUUCUUCUUGUUUUUUUUUCCAUUUUUAGCCUUCUUCCAGUCUUCUGUUUUCUUUUGUGCUUCUGCUCUCCCUUUUUUUUCACUCUCUGUUUUCCUUUCCUCACCCUCUGUUUUCUUUCUCUCCCUCUGUUUUUCUUCCUCUCUCUCGUUUCCUUCUUUCCAAAGGAGUUUACAAAAACUACUAAAGUUUUGAAACAACUUCUAUCGGCAAAAGAUGAAGGCUUUUUCGGGUUGUCAGAGGCAAUGAACAAGGCAGGGACUACCGUCGGUUUGUACUUCAUUUUUGCAAGCAAGAUGUGCAGGUAUAAGCAAUUAUUCUUCUUUGCUAUAUUAAACUAGGCAUCUAUUGAUUGUUCUGUUCCAAACCUGUUUCUCUUUUUGCUCUAAAUAUUCAGUUUCUGUGUAGACAAAGGUUAUAUGCUCGCUCACUAAUCUUUCAUGGCUUUGAGUUUAGCUUAUUGUUUAUGUUAAAGGCAUGUUUCUUUCCUCAUUCCCUUACCAUAAGAAACCAUAACGUUCAAAGACCCUCACCAUUUGUUUUCUUUAUUCGGGUACCUCCCUAGUUUUAAGAUUUUGUAUAAGAGGAGUUGUGCUCCUAGAUGUAGUUUGUCCAAAGGAUAAAGAAAACACAAAGAAAGUUCCUUUUUACUUGAAGUAACGUUGGCAUGUUCUGAGGAGGGUAAUGUUUUUUUCUUCUCUUUUUGUUAGCUGGAGAAAGGAUAGCCAACCAUGAUGUUGUUUUUGGUAUUUAGUCUGUGAUAUACGUGAUAUAAAGGCGUACUCCCCAGUGUUUUUUUUUCUAUUUGGAUGAAACGAGUAAGGCAGGUCCCAACUUAAGGAAAAAGGGUGGGGUUGUGAGGCACGAACAUAGGAUUUUAAGUUCAAAAUUUAGGUUUUAGAAUCCCUUCAGCAUAUGAACUUGCUUUUCUAGUUAUAGAAUUUUAAGUUGAAGUAGGCGAGUUGAAUCUUGUUUGAGUUGAGUUGGCUUUGAACAAUUUUUUUUUUAGUUAUUUUAAGCUUCAUGUAAAUCUUAGAAUAUAUGUGACAACUGGCUAAAUUUUAUUGUGAUGUUUGUGUUUAAUUGUGAUGCUUGAGUUUUGAUUAAAUAUAAAAAUAUAUUUAUGUGUUGCAUAUGGUCAAUACCUUACAAAAUAUUUUGAGCAUUUUUUUUUAGAAAAAUAAAUAUUCAAGAUUUCAAAAAAAAAAAUGUGUUUUAACAUAUAUUUCUUAAAUACAAAAAUUAUUUUCUUGUAUUUUGGAUUUUACAACAUGUUUUUAAAUUUCAAAAUGUUUUGGCCAUUAUUUAAAAAUCUUAUUUUUCAAUAAUUUAUCCUUAUUCACUAUCAAUAUUUGGAUACAUAAAUCUCACAUGGUUAAUAUUCAAAUAUUAUUGGGAAUAAUUUGACCCUCAAUUAACCAUUAAACUUUUAAUUUUCUUCAAUUCGACCCUCAAUUGACCAUUAAACUUUUAAUUUUUUUCAAUUUGACCUCUGAUUUCAAUCAAUUAAAUCCUCAUAGUUCGAUGCAUUUUUCAAAAUGGUCAUUGGUUGUGAAUUUCUUCUUUUUAACCCUUAAUUCACCUCCUAAAAAAACUUCCAUUUUCAUGCGAUUUUACCCUUGGUUUAAACCAAUUCACUUUGUAAAAAUUAAGUUUGGUCUCCAAAAAUUUCAAUCUUCUCAAUUAAGCCCAAAUUGGGCUUUCAAAUUUAAGUUUUCACCAAUUAAGCCCCUAAUAAAAUUAAUUUGACUCAUUUACAGUAUAAUUAAAUCUUAGCACCUAAUUAAAUCCUUCAAUUGGACCCAAAAUUAAUUCUUAAAUAUAAUUAAACUUUAAUUUGACCCAUGAUUAAAUCAAAUUGACCUAUUAAAAAUCUAAUUAUGUCCUUAGGCUUAAUUUUUAUGUAUAUUCGUUCAAUAAUAAUUUAAUUUGACCUUGAAUAUGCAUUGUUUCUUCCGUUGUGGGUAAAAUAGGGUACAAUUAGGUUGUUGAUUCUAUCUAAAAUUGCAGCUUAAAUUUCCUACAUUUGAAAUCCUUCCUCAAUUAUUUUUUUCCAUUUCGUUAGUCUCUUUAUUGUUAUUGUUUUAUUUUUAUUUUGAAAAGAAAAAAAAAUAAAUUUUAAGAAUAGCCCAAAAAUAAAUUAUGACAUAAGAUAUCGUUUAUUAUCUUAAAACAAAAAACACGGAGACAUGGAGAAUGAUAUAGAAUAUAAAACUUAGUCUGAGUUGUACUUGGAAAUGGUAUAUAAGACAAGUUGAAUAUUUUUAUUUUUUAUUUGGUUGAUGAACGACAAGGUAAGAUAAAAUACGAAAAGAGCUUGUUAUAUUAUUGCUAUCAAACUUACAAUGUUUGGAACAAUAAAUAAAAAUCAUUAUUUUUAUUUUAGUUUAUAAUAAGUAUUAAUUGUUUUUUAUCUAACUUAAAAUGGUAAUAUCUCCACUCAUCAAAAUCAUGUUAAUUUUAUUUUUUUUGUAAUCAUUGUAGAAAAGAUAAUCAUUUCAAAAAAAAAAAAUAGUAUAGUUAAAUUAUGUUUUGCUCAAUCAUUAAACAAAUAUUAAUUGUUAAAUAUUUCUCAACUUUGAAGUGGUUCAAUCAAGUGUGAAGAUAUUUAUUUCUCAAAAAACAAUGUUCAAGAAAUAUUAGGCAAGUUCAAAGUGAAUAAUUGUAAUUUAAUUAGUACACUAAUUGAAUUUGGUUUGAAACUAAAUAGAAAUCAAGAAGGAAAGAAGGUGAAAGACACCCUUUACAAGAAAGAGAAUUAUAGGGAGUUAAUUUGAUGUAUCUAACAAAUAAGAAGGCUAGAUAUAAUGUAUGCAAUAAGUCUUGUUAGUAGAUACAUGGAUAAUCCAAUAGGAAUUUAUCUUUUGAUGACUAAAAGGACAUUUCGAUACUUAAAAUGUAUUAUAAGUAUGGAUCACUCUACAUGAAAAGAGAAAAGUCUGAUUUGAUUGCCUUUACUGACAAUUAUUAUGCCGAAAAUCAAGUUGAUAUAAAAGGCAUUUGUAGAUAUGUUUUUAAACUUGGUUCAGGAGCUAUUUCAUGGUCAAGUAGUAUGGUUAAAAAAAAUUAUUGAAGAACUUUACUUGAAGAGACAAGAGCCUACAAUAUUUCUUUUGUGAUAAUUAAUCAAUAAUUAAACUCUAAAAUAAAUAUAGUUCAACAUAGCAGAUGAGUGCAUAUUGCUGUAAAGCUUCACUACUUAAGAGAAUUGAUAAAGAAUGGAAUGAUUGCAAUCAUCAAACAAGUUGCUAAUAUAUUCAGUGAGACUCUCCAAUUGAAGUUGUUGGUGAAACACAUAGGAUUACAUGGUAUUUGAACUCAAGAAGACCUUGUUUGAAGGAGAGUCUUUAAUUUACUAAUACGAGUGUUUAAGAAAAUCAAUUUAAGUUUGGUGAUCAGUUUAAUAUAAGGGGAUAAACAGUGUCACUAUAGUAUUUUUAGAUUUUCUUUUAGUUCAUAGUGUUAAUUUGUAAAAUUGAUCUUUAAUUCUUGUGUUAAUUUUCUAUGAUACAUUAUUUAUACAAGAGCAAGCAAAUUAAAACAGAAUCCAACACAUCAAAUCAAGCUAAUAUAACUUAUAAAGAUGAAUUGAAAUGAAAUAACAUUAAAUGGUUGAAGUGUAAGAAAAUUUAAAAAAACAAAAAACAAAACAGGGAUCUAAUAAAAAAAGGAGUGCAAAAACUAGACUGAAUUGUUGAAAAAAAAAAAACAGACCAUGUUUGUUUCCGCGGCUAGGCCAUGUUUUUCAAAAAAAAAAAAAGUAUUUUUGCUUCAAAUUAUUUUUAUAUUAUUUUAAUAUAUUAAUAUUAAAAAUAAAUUUAAAAAAUAAAAAAAUAUUCUCUCAUCGAACAACCAAGAAAAAGUUGUUCUUAUAUUAGUUGAUAGAAACUAUCCUCUCCCCUACAUGACAGCAUAGCUAGAAACCUACCAGAGAUUCCAUCUCAAAAUCAAAAUAUCUGCAGCUAUACAUCAAGCUUUCUCCAUCUCUACAUCCCAAGACAGAUGUUUCCCUGGGUCUACUACGAGUAUCCAUGCUUGUUUUAUUGAAUUCAGUGGGGUUUAUGAUCAAGAUUAUGAAUUUUUCUUGUUUUUAGAAAACAAAUUAACAAUGCAUAAACAUUUUUUUUUUUUGUUAUUUUUUUUUUAUGUUGACCCACGAAGUAACAUGAACCAACUUUCUAGUUAACAUAAACUAAAAUAGUGUAAAUUCAUGGUUCAUCUUCUCAAAGCAUUAAAAUAGUAAAAUAAUGAAUUCAUCAUUUAUUUUUAAUAUUAAUUUUAUUAAGAACUAAGUUUGUAAUAUUAAUUUUAUUAAAAAUUAAAUUUGUAAUUUAUUUUAAUUUAUCUUCUGUAUAGAUUAUGAUGUCUUAAUAACAACACUCUAACCCAGCAACUCCAACCGAAUAAUGUUCAACAGUUAUAAAGUGUAUUAUGCAUGAAUUUAAUUAAGUGGUAUAUCAUCAAUAUGUCUAAAUAAAAAUAAUAAGACUCGAACUUAAAAUUCUCCUUCCUAUCAUCAGAAUUCAUCCAAUAACUAAAUAAUAUAUAACGUGGGAAUGAAUCUAUAUGGAAAGAUUUCAAGAGUUUGAGGUAUCUUUAUAAAAGUUAAGUUGAAAGCCAAAACGAAAAGAAAAGAAAAGGUAAUAGCAUAAAAUAAGCUGAUAAAGUUUAUAUUGAGACAUAUCAUCAAACCAACACAGAAUACAGCCAUGCUAAUAGGAGUAAUCAUUUUUUAUUCGGUUUAAUUCGAUUUUUAUAUAAAAAAAAAAUUAAUUUUUUUAAAUAAAAAAAACCAAAACCGGUUUCGCUUGGUUUUUCAGUUUGGCUCGAUUUUGGCUCGGCUUUUUCCGGUUUGGCUUGGUUUUUGCGGUUUGGCUCGGUUUGUUUUGGGUUCGAUUUUUUCGGUUUUAGGCUUAUAAAACCAAAACCAAACUAAACCAGUCGGUUUUUUCAAAAUUUUAAUCAAUUUAAUUGGGUUUUUUUUCACAAUUUAGUUUUUUAAUUAUUAUUUUUCAUGUUUUCUCGGUUUUUUGGUUUUUUUCUCACGCUUAAAACCAAUAUAUCCUUGUGGGUCUCUAUUUCUCUGCUUACAAAUUUGUCUCUUAAAAAAAAACAAACAUUAAAAAAAAAAAUAUGUCAUUAAUUUCAAAAUAAUUAAGUUAUUAAUUAUUGGGUUUUGCAUCUUGAGAAUAUUCCAAACAAAUUUGAAGUUCAUCGAAAGAUCAAUUUGAAGUUCAUCGAAAGAUCAAUUAUUUCAAAUUUAUCUACUAAUUUUUUAGUUUGAUUAGAAUUCAAAAUAUAUCCUAUAAAUGAUUAUAAAACUUAACAAUAUAUUUUACACUUUAUUUCAUACACAACAUACAUUUUACAUUAGAAAAAAGCCAUAAGACAUACAUUGUAUUUAUUUUAACAAAACAAGAGCUAUUAAACUUGGACAUUUCUCUCGCAAUAAAAUAAAAGUUGUAUUUAAUCUUCGCCACAUUUAAUCUUCGCCACUGCGAUCUGCAUUGAUCUCAUCAAGAAUCACCACAAGAGCUGUUAUAAAGGCAUAAUCAACAUUAGGAUACACAGUCACUCCAAAACUGUCUGUAUCCAAAAUAGUACUUGCGAGAGAAUGUUUUCUAUGCAUCUGCAUUUACGUGAAAAAAACAAUAUUAGUAUGAGCUCUUCUGAAGAUAAAUUUCAUGAUUAAAAUAGGAUAUAUUAACCAAUUAGAAGCCUUUCAAUUUGCAGUAAAUAAAGGGUAGGGCAACAAGUUCCAAAUUAACCAAAAUGUAAAACUCGAAUAUUAUAAGUGCGGGUGUGAAUAAAAGAAAUUCUCAAACAAUAUUAUUGUUCUUAUUAAUCGUUUAACUAUGUUAUGAAAGAACAAAAAAGGUAAAUUGAGAAACGUAAAAUAGUAUAUCUAAUGUGAAAAUAUUUCUAAAAACUUGUAUGGUGCCCUAUUUUAAAACCUUACCCAUCAAGUUAAGGGGUCUAGGUUGGCCAUGAUUUAAUAAAAAUAAAAAGAUAAUUAAUUUAGUAUAAUCUUUUUAAAAACACAGAUAAUCCCUGACCCUGUUAGUCAAAGUAAAACUCGGUCAUAACUAAUUGAUUUUUUUCUUUUUAGUUAUUUUUCAAACUAAUAUAAUUUUUUUUUAUGAAACAAAAAAAUUUAAUUCACCUCGAGAUCUAUAAAUUUCCCCAAAUCAAGUUUACAAAAUUAUAGCAUCAUAAAUAAAAUAACAAUAAUUGAAAUUAAAAAUCAAUUGGAUGCAAACCACUAUAUUUAAUGUUUCUUAGCAAUGGUCCUUUGAUACUAUUUAAAACUAUAAUUAUUGAAUUAAAAAAAAAUCUCCUUGAAAAGUUACCAAUUAUUAAGGGUGUCUUUGGUAUUGCGAUUACUGUUGUGGUUGUGGUUUUAAAAAAGUUGUUUUAUAAAAAGUACUUUUAAUUGAGAUUGGUUUGGAAAAAUAUAUGUUUGGUUAAAACUGUGGUUGAAAUUAAGGUUGGACAAAAAGUAAUUUAAUGUGUUUGAUUAAAAAAAAUGAUUUUCAAAUUGAGAUUAUAAAAUAAUUAACAUAUAUAUAUAUAUUAAUGAUUUUUAAUUUAAAUAUUAUAGAUUUAACUACUGUUAUUACAUCAUGAAAUAAAUAAUAUUGAUAUCAAAUAUUUUUUAUUAUUCCAUUAAACUAUGUGCAAUCUCAUUACAUAUAAAAUCUAUCCAACAAGGACUAUAUUUUUCAUGGUUUCUUAAGCGCACAAUAACAAAAACUGAAUUUUUUAAUUUAUGUAGUGUUAUUAAAUAAUAAAGAUUGUGAUAUCUUUAUUAUUGGAAUUGCGAUCAAAUUCCACAAAUGCUACGUCAUCAUGCGAUAUCUUUCUAAUUUAUAUAGUGUUAUUAAAUAAUAUUAAAUACUAGUUUUUCGAGUAAAACACAAUUUUUUUAAAAAACAUUACAAUUUCAUUACGUACAAAAGUCAUUCGAUAAGAACUACAGUUUCCAUAAUUUUUUGAGCGUGCAAUAAAAUAUGUAAAAUAUUAUCAAGAAUAAAAUUAAGAUUAAAGUACGAGUAAAUUUAAUUCGCCUUAAACUAAUUUUUUUUUUAAAAUAUUGUUCACAAUUAACUGCACUGGUUUUUCGGGGAAAAAAAAACUAAACUUUUCUCAUUGGUUUUUCAAAAAAAUAAAAAAAUUGAACAUUGCGACAAUGGAGCAUGGCUCCACUGUUCAUUGAACAGUGGAGCCCUAAAAAUAAUCACAAGAAGCAGCAAAAUGCUGCUUCUCCAAUCCUAUAGCUGGACAGCAAAAAUCAGUGGGCCCUACCAAGUAAAAUCAGCUUUGUUUCCUUUACUAAACAUUAAAAUGUGUGGCUGCGGGUGAACCUCACCCGCAACCACAUUAACAAACAACAUUUAAGACUCAAAAUACUAUUCAUUAUAUAGUAUAAGUAUAAAAUCACCCUUGAAAAAAAUAAAGCAUUGAAUUAAGCAUUAAGGAUCAUGUAGUCUUUUCACAAUGACAUAAUUAUCUUUUACAAAUUUUAUGAAGUUAGACAGGCCAUUUCUAUUUUGUGCACAUUAAAAUUAUUAAUUUAACCCUAUAAUAAAAAAUAUAUAAUGCCUAUUAUUAAGGGUUUUUUUUUUCUUUUUAAUUUUGUUUUAAAACAGUGUAAUUAUUUUAAUAUCUUUGAUAACAAAAUCAACAUCUCUCUUAUAUAGGUGUUUUUUUUUUCAUUUCACAUUAGUUUUAUUAUAAAUUCCAAUGCUAUUCAAGGGCAUUGUUGUCAUUUAUAUUAAUUAAAUGUAAUUAAAAAAAAUUAUUGACACGUGUAAAUGACCCCGCAUUGUUUGAGCAACGUGUAUGGGUUCAUCUAGCCACCUAACAAUGUAUUUUGAAGUGGCGUUUAAAAGGUGUUAACUACUUUGAACUUCACGUCCGCAAUUAAUUUGGGUGGGCUCCAAUAAUGUUUUUCCAACCUUUUUCAAAUGUUUUUUUAAUUUUCAUUUUCAUUAUUUUCUUUACUAGAUAUUGAACUUUAUCUAUUUUUUUUUUAGAGUUAUCAUAUUUCUAUUUAAUUUAUUAGAAAUUGAUUUUUAAUUUUUUUUUUAUAUUUUUUCAAUAAGAUUAUCUCAUCUCAUGUGAAUGUUUUACAAGUUAUUCCAGUUUAAUUAGGGAAAUAAAUUAGCUUUAAACUAUUUUUAAUAAUUUUUUUUUAUUAUUUUUUUGUUUGUUUAUUUAUUGUUGUUAUAUUUUUAAAAAUUAUUAAUUUAACCAAUACCUCGUAUCUUGAAUUUAUUUUCUUGUCAUUAUAUUUUUUUUUAUAUUGAAUUUGUUUUUGUUCCACCAGCCACAAAUCUAGUUAAACAAUAAUUACCUAUUAAAUAGUUGUUGACUUAGGACUAAAAACUGAAUGAGAGCGUCCAACUUACUUGUGCAAGCAUGGUAUUGGAAUCUCCAAGAAGUAUAGAGCAGGAACUCUCGCUGUAGCCUCCUUUGACCUUGAAAUCAGGGACCUCUCCUUUGUUAUUACCCAAGAAUACGUCUAACUCAGUCUUGAAUUGGAACAGCUUUGAUUUCUUGGCUGUGAAAAGCAAGUCUUUCUCCUCCUUGCUUUCUCCUCUAAAAGCUUCCCACCUUCGAUGCAUGGUCAUUAUCUGGAGAAAAGGAUAACACGCAGCAAGCCAUAUCAUUGAAGAAGAAGAAGAAAACAAAUGAAAUGAUCAAUUAAGCAUACCUUCUGCCUGAGAUUGACAAGGGUGUUACCGGCUGCAUCUUUCAGAAAACGACGAUCAUGCAAGCUUAAGAGUUUACUCUUGACUUGGAAGAUGAGGGUGCCAUUAAUGUCAGACACCUUAAAAUCAUUCUCUCCAAGACUCCAUAGCUUUGUGGAGACGGCGAGUUCAACAGGGUACUGUGCCAGGUACUGUGGCCCUAUUACCACCACUGGAUGCUCCACCGGCGGGUAUGUUCUCAUAGCUGGAAGGGGGUUGCCUGAUGCUUGUCCAGCAGCCAUAAUCACAGAAACAAAAUAUUACUCGAAGAAAUAAACAGAAAGAGAAACAGCUAAUUUCUAUAUCAUGCAGGUCUUGAUGGUUUUUAGAAGUAGUCUUUGAGGAGAAUGAUGGAUGUGUUUUGUAGUGCCACUUAACAUAUGGCAUGUCGUGUCUUUAAAUAAAAAAAGGGGCAGUCUUUCUUUCAAAAUGACAACAAUAAGAAAGGCCUCUUCUUU